ACUGACCUGACUUCGCCAGCGCCAGCCCAUCUAUGAGACCUCCAGCAUUUGUGCCCCGGACUGGCCCCUCCUAGGCCUGACUCUUUCUGUGAACUGCCCAGGAUCAAGCUACAAUGAAGAGGAGGGAGGCAGUCUGCACGCACCGCCAUUUUCUAGGAACUGGAAAGUGCCUCCCGCUCCCCCAGCCCUUAGGAAGAUCCAUCCCUGUGGAACCUUACCCAGGCUUACCAGCCUUUGCUGAGCUGGAUCUAUUUGGACUAGUGUCAGUCAGUAGGACUUGAGACGUUGGUUCUCUACACUUGCACCCUCCUUGUCCCCAUCAAAAUAUCCAGUACUCUACCUCCAGGGAGUAGACUUGACCCUCAAAUAAUAGCAAGUUCAGCUUUCCCAGGUCUAGGUUCCCUGGGAGGCCAAGAUUCGUAUGGUUCCUUAAUAUAGAGGGCUAGCUGUGAGUUGGAAUCCCACUAUGAGCUUUAGAAUCAGUCAAGAAGAACUGGGCCCCUUCCCUUCAUCCCUCCUCUUUUCCCUUUUUGUCCCAGAGCUCAGCUCUGACUCAAAGUUUUUCCAUUUACCAUCAACAUGGAAACUUGGCUCCCCACAUGGGUAUAUUAUCCCCCUUUUGUACAUGGUCUUGUUGAUCAAAACUCCCUUUCUGUGAAAGAGGCCUGUGGGGCUCAAGAAGCCUGGUCAACCAGCCAGGCUAGUCCCACAUACCUCAGAACCAGUUUAAUAAAGGCUCUAUGUCAUUCUU